rnacentral:rRNA from 1 species
AGUCGAGGGGUAGAAUAGCAAUAUUUGAGACCGGCGCACGGGUGCGUAACGCGUAUGCAAUCUACCUUUUACAGAGGGAUAGCCCAGAGAAAUUUGGAUUAAUACCUCAUAGUAUAGUGAGUUGGCAUCAACACACUAUUAAAGUCACAACGGUAAAAGAUGAGCAUGCGUCCCAUUAGCUAGUUGGUAAGGUAACGGCUUACCAAGGCAACGAUGGGUAGGGGUCCUGAGAGGGAGAUCCCCCACACUGGUACUGAGACACGGACCAGACUCCUACGGGAGGCAGCAGUGAGGAAUAUUGGUCAAUGGGCGCAAGCCUGAACCAGCCAUGCCGCGUGCAGGAUGACGGUCCUAUGGAUUGUAAACUGCUUUUGCACAGGAAGAAACACUCGGUCGUGACCGAGCUUGACGGUACUGUGAGAAUAAGGAUCGGCUAACUCCGUGCCAGCAGCCGCGGUAAUACGGAGGAUCCAAGCGUUAUCCGGAAUCAUUGGGUUUAAAGGGUCCGUAGGCGGCCAGAUAAGUCAGUGGUGAAAGCCCAUCGCUCAACGAUGGAACGGCCAUUGAUACUGUUUGGCUUGAAUUAUUUGGAAGUAACUAGAAUAUGUAGUGUAGCGGUGAAAUGCUUAGAGAUUACAUGGGAAUACCAAUUGCGAAAGGCAGGUUACUACAAAUUGAUUGACGCUGAUGG